AGGCAAGGUGAUAAGAAGGCUAUGUGACGUUUUUUAGGGUGAUGAGCGGGUGCUGAACUACUUGAACACAUGGUUAAAUCCUUUAUCUGCGGGGUGGUUGAAGGGUUUUAUGGGAAGCCAUGGACGAUGAAACAGCGUGCAGACCUCUUCCCUAGGGUAGCAAAUUUCGGCAUGGACACUUACAUGUAUGCCCCAAAGGAUGACUUCAAACAUCGGUCCGCAUGGCGCAUACCCUACUCGCCCAACGAAUCCGAGCAACUGCGGCGACUGAUCGAGGAGUCAAAACUUCAUAACAUUAGGUUUAUUUACGCCCUGUCCCCUGGACUUGACAUGAUAUUUAGUUCAGAGAAAGAGAUGAAGUUACUCAUGGAUAAGCUAGAUCAAGUAAGAGGUCUGGGGUGUGACUCGUUUGCCCUGUUAUUUGAUGACAUAGAGCCGCAGUUGCACCCCGCAGAUGAGGUGCGGUUCCAGACUCCCGCACACGCGCAAGCGUACGUGACUAACGAGGUCUACCACCACAUGAGGGCUCCUAGCACAUUCCUCUUCUGUCCCACUGAGUACUGCGAGGCUUACUGUCAACCCUCCUUCUACCAGUCUUCCUAUCUUCCUAUCAUUGGAGCGGAACUUAAUCUUGGGAUUGACAUUCUGUGGACAGGACCAAGAGUAAUAAGUAAACACAUCUCCUGUGCAUCUAUCCGAGCAGUGAACAAGGUUCUAAAACGUAAGGUUAUAAUAUGGGACAAUCUCCACGCAAAUGACUACGACCAACGGCGCAUGUUCCUGGGCCCGUACUCUGGGCGCUCGCCGGCACUCGUACCUCUGCUAUCUGGGGUCCUGACUAACCCUAAUUGUGAAUACGAGAUAAACUUCAUACCUCUCCGAACUCUGGCUAUUUGGAGUAAGCUCAGUAUCGAGACCACGGACGCGUUGUCAGAAGAUAUCUACGAUCCAAGCAAAGCCUUGAACAGUGCUAUUAUUGAUUGGUUACCUCAGUUUUCUAUUAGUGAGAAUUGUACCACAGAAAUUCCUCUCAUUAUUCGCAGAGAAAACAAUUUAGAGUCCAUGGAAAUUGAGCAGCCGCCCGAGAAGGAGGAUUCCCCGCCAACGGAGGAGAUGAUGAGUAUUGAAAGUGAGGGUGAGGCUAAGAAAGUGCUGCCCUCUCCUACUGACGAGGUCCCUCCUUUGCCGUUAGACUCAGAUACAUUGCUGCCCAAACACGAAGGAAUGAGUAUAGAGGAUCUAAGCUUGUUGUGUGAUAUGUUUUACUUGCCGUAUCAACACGGGGCACGUGCGGUGGAGUUGCUACAGGAACUGAGCUGGCUUGUUAAUUUCAACCCUGAUAGUAAGCAAGAUGUUGAUGAGAGCACUCUACCCGCAGAGUGGACUAGAAAGGCUGAACAAUUCAGACUGAAAUGUGGAAUGAUAGACUCGCUCUUCUCUAAGAUAGACGGACCAAACCGUUCCCUUCAUUACGAGAUACACCCCUACGUCACGGAGGUCCAGAGCGCUCUCUACAGAGCGAAAGCUUACAUUUCUAGAAUAGAGCGAAAGGAAUGCAGCUUUCCCACACUCGACAUUCCGAGAGACCCCGAACCUUGGGUAUUCCAAGGUGGAUUUGGUGCAGAACUAACGCGCAUCUUACCUGCUGAAGCGUAUAAGACUGACGAGGUUUCCCGACGACCAGUGGAGAACCCCUCGGCUGCUACAUGUGUUUACUUUGUUAGACCAUACUGUGUUGCUGAUCAGGAGGACUUGUACAAGAUUUGUCUGCUAAACUCUGACAAUGGACAGGACGGAUCACAUUUGUUUCCCGAUCAUCCUGAUAUAAUUGGAGAUAGAGGUGUAGGACCCUACCUUGAGUUUGCACCGGAGUUGGCCUACGUUCUAACAGAUGAUGCUGGAGUUUGUGGCUAUGUUUUAGGUGUGGUUGACACCCAGUCGUUCUACGAGGACGUCUACACGAAGUGGCUACCUCGGAUGUGUGAGAAAUACUCCGCACCUGGUCCCGAUAAAAGCACCUGGAACAGCACUGCUGAGGUGGCUAACGGUUUUCACAAUCCACCUAAAGUGAUAAUUCCGGAUUGUCUGAGCGGACCUUACCCCUCUCAUAUCAAGUUCAAUCUGCUGCCCCGUGCUCAAGGCAAGGGGAUGGGGGAGAGUCUUAUCACCUGCGUCCUUGAGUCUUUAAAAAACAAAGGUUCGAAAGGAGUCCACCUUGACAUAAGUCCUGACGAUAUUCGUUACCUCAACUUCUACACUUCUCUCGGAUUUAAGGAGAUAACCAUGCCUACUCAACCUCUCAACCAGGUGUUUUUGGGCAAAAUUUUCCCGGGCGAAGUGAAGGACGGUCAGAACAGCGAAAUUUCGGACGACCCAGAAUUUCCUUAGUACUUCCCCGCUAAGUCGGGAUGAUAUUUAUAUUAAUAAUCAUGCUAUUCGACAGAUUUUGUUUGAAAACAGGUGUUGGAAUAAAGAAAUUAAGACUAACGGGACUUUAUUUACAUUGAUUUUUGUUCAUACAUUGUUGGUUUUUUUUUGCAAACCAGAAGUUCUGUAAACUUCGCUUAUUAUUUAUGUUAUUGUUAUGUCGUAUAGGAUUUUGUUGGUUGUAGAAUUUGAUAUACUUACUACUAAUGCUGUUAUAAAGUUCCCUUUCGGUAUUCUUAUGCUGAACUGGGCUGUCAUGUUGUAGAGAGCUGCUCCCUAGUUUCCCUGCUCUAAAAGUUUCCCGGCUCUAAAAGUUUCCUGUUUCCCGGCUCUAUAGUUUCCCGGCUCUAAACUUUCCCUGCUCUAAAAGUUUCCCGGCUCUAAACGUUUCCCUGCUCUAAACGUUUCCCUGCUCUAAACGUUUCCCGGCUCUAUAGUUUCCCUGCUCCCUAGUUUCCUUGCUCCCUAGUUUCACGGCUCUAAAAGUUUCCCUGCUCUAAAAGUUUCCCGGCUUCUUAGUUUCCCGGCUCCUUAGUUUCCCAGCUCCCUAGUUUCCCGGCUCCCUAGUUUCCCGGCUCCUUAGUUUCCCGGCUCUAUAGUUUCGUUUAUCUUUUAUUUUAAUUUAGUUGGUUGUAAUGUGUUAUAACGAGUUUUAAAUUUAGGUUUUGGGGACUCACUUCUCUGAAUGAAGUCUAGUUUGACGAAUGGGUUUAAAAAGUUUUUUGUCAAGUUGUAAAAGUGUUUUAUCUCCUCAAUGUUGUCAGGAGUUGCAUUCUUCCGGAUUAAUUUUUAAGUUAAAUAAUCUUUAACAGGUUGAUAGGUGAAAUGUUGGCCAAAUUAUGGUAGAUUAUUCGGAACUUUUGUUAAGUUUAAUGAUGCUGGGGCUCUGGGAUUAACUUUAGUGCCUAAUUAAACUCCUGUAUCAUUACAUUGUCCUUUUCAAAUUUGAUGACAAUACAUUUGAAAAUAGCUUGCUGAUUCUCGUUUUAGAUUUUGCAGCAUAAUGAUUAAGAGGAGCCAAGUAAGUCGUAGCUUCUUAAUUUGAGGUAUUUCAAUUUGAUAUGUUUAUUAGCUAUGGAACACUUUAUACUUUCCAUAUAUGCUUUUAUAAGCGUCUGUAUUACCAUUAGUAGAUUUCCUCAUUGUAUAAAUUUACGCAGAAUUACUUACCGCAAAUUUCUGCCCUAUUGCCUAUCAAACUGUCCAAUAGUCUGAUUUACGGUAAUAUUAGUGGACCUUGACAAGUGUUUUACUUUAUUUCAAAUUGUGUAGCGUGUAUAUCGAUUGCAGACCAUUUAAUUUAAUCAUUUAAGUUCCAUUUUAAA